CUGGAGUAAUUUGCUAAAUAUCUCACACCACCGCAGCAUGUCUGAGAUGGGGUUGCCACAUUUCUAGUCAGGAAAGGAACACAAGGGUUCAGUUGGUUCACUAUUACAGUGCAAGGUGGUAAAGGGUCCCCUGCUGCAGAGCCUAAUAUCAGCAUCAGAAUGGUUAAUAAACCAGCUAGGUGCCUCAUGCUUAAAUAUUUUUCAAUCUCUUUGUGAGACAGUUUUGGACAAAAUUAUAGUAGCUAAAUUGGUUUUUGAUGUGAUUUGCAUAGAUCUGUAAGGAAAUGAGGGAAAUAUAUAGCAGAUGGCCUGUGGGUAUGCCAAGCCUCAGAUCAGAAUGUCAAUGAGAAAUAAGGACAGUAAAUAGUGGAGAUUUCGCGGCCAGAAGAUAGGUGUUUCCAUCACAAGCUUAUUACAACUGUAAGACGUUGAACUAUAUAAGAAAUGCUAGAAUUCCUAUAUUAUUGCCCAUUGCCUUUUGCUGAUACUUGAAAGCAAGCUUAUUAACUAUUCAAUUCAUGACUGGCACAAUUUUAGGAAAGACUAUAAAGAAUGUGGAGAUAUACCAUAAUGAAUAUGCAGUAUCAUCGUAAUGGUAAAUUCUACCGUUACUUUGUUUUUUUAAAAAAAGAACUGUACUUUUUUUUAAUUCAUUAAUAAGAUAAUUAUAAUUUAUAUAAUUUUUUGAAAAAAAUUGGUAAACUGUAAGUACAAGUUACCAAUUAAAAUAAAGUCCGCUAAAGUAAUAUAAAAUAGAUUAAAAANNNCGCUAGUAUAUAAAAUAGAUUUAAAAAUCUAUAUAUUUUUAAAAUUUAUAAAAAAUUAGUUUAAUUUAUAAAAUAUAGGAAGAUGAUUGCAUUUUUCGUAAUUCAAUAAUAAAUUUUGCAAUUACAAAAAGAUAUAAUAUUUUUUAUAAAUUUACUAAUUUUUCGUAAAUCAUUAAAUAUUGCAAAAGCUAUCAUUUUUUCACAACUAGUUUCACUUACGAAAAAUUAGUAUAAUUUAGAAAGAAAAAAAAUGAAAAUGAUUAUCAUUUUUCAUAACUUAGCAAUACAUUUCGCGAUUAUGAAAAUUUUAAUAUUUUUUCAUAAAUUUACCAAGUUUUUCAUAAAUUAUUAAGUUUCAUAAAAGUUAUCAUUUUUUUGUAAUAUCAUUCAUUUUCUCGCAACUAGUAACACAUUAUAAAAAAAUAGUAUAAUUUGUGAAAAAAUAUGAAGAAUGUUGUCAUUUUUCGUAAUUUAGUAAUAUAUUUUGCGAUUACGAAAAGUUUAAUAUUUUUUAUAAAUUUAUCAAUUUUUUCGUAAAUCAUUAAAUUUUGCAAAAGUAAUCAUUUUUUCAUAAUAUUAUUCAUUUUUCGCAACUAGUAACACUUAUAAAAAAAUUAUAUAAUUUACAAAAGAAAUAUGAAGAAGAUUGUUAUUUGUUGUAAUUUAGCAAUAUAUUUCACUAUUACGAAAAAUUUAGCAUUUUUCAUAAAUUUAUCAAUUUUUUUGUAAAUUAUUAAAUUUCACAAAAGUAAUAGUUUAUCGUAAUAUUAUUUAUUUUUUGCAACCAGUAACACUUAUGAAAAAUUAGCAUAAUUUGUGAAAAAUAUGAAGAGUAUUGUCGUUUCUUGUAAAAUAGAGGAUUCAACAGAUUGCCAGUCAUCUUUAUUUACACAAUUUAAAGGAUAAAAUACAAAUUAAUUAAGAAUUAAUGAUAUUUAAAAUAAAAUAAAAAUUACUUUAUUUUAAACAAAACAAGAUAAAAUCGUAUUACAAUGUAUAGUAAUUUUAGGAUGGAAAUCUAUUAUUGCGAAUAGAUGACAGAGGAAUUAGCAAAGAGACAUUAGUAAAGAAUUUAUACUAAUGUGAAAUUGUUGGAUAAUUCUUAUAUUGUUGGAAUACUAAUUAUGAACUUAUAACAAAUCGUUAGAUAAAAUAUAUUUAUUAGUAUUAAACAAUGGAAUAUUUGUUAAUCAUCUAAUACCAAAGUGUAAAACGCUCGUAUAUACGUGUUAUUCUCUUAUUAGUUAUAUUAUAUUCAAUAAAUCUAGAGAAGAAUCUCCUAAAAUUGUUUGUGAAAAUAUAUCAGACUAUUGCGACGGGAAGCAUUUUGUCCUCAAUGGUCAUUCUGUUGCCGCUGCCAACGGCAAGGGAAUUGCACUCUCGCUGCUGAUUUUUCGAACCGCUUCGUCGCACAACAGAAACCAGGAAGGAAGUAUCGAUAGUAAUGAAUUACGAUGGAAGUAUGAUAUAGCCGCCGAAAUUUCUUUCUAUUUUCCAAUUUCCAUCAGAUUAAACGAACCUCAACUGCAUGAGCCUGUCGCAAAACUUUUUCGCGGUCAUUACACCAUUAGCGACAUAUUUGCCAUAAAUGAACAUCCGAUAUUUUUUUAGUGAACGAGAAGAGGAAAAAUUGUCCAAAUUGCAAGCCCGUAUCAAGGUCUGCCCUACAAAUUACUUCUUACUUACAUCUAUCGUCCUCUCCUUCCAUCCUUCUAUGUAAUAAUUUAGACCGUUGUUACCGUCAUGGACAAUUAUCAAAACCGAUAAAGCAGUUGUAUAGCGUCAUUGCAACCACCACUGCCAGAACUGAAGUUAGUAGUUAUUGGUGGAAUUGCAGUAGAACUGACAUUUCCUGAGUUAAAUGGGAUUAAGAGUUACAGUCUCGAUUCUCAACGCUGGGUAAAUUAAAAGGAAAACUCAAGCAGCGCAGGAUGUGUGACAAAUUAUGCUGAUAUCGCUUACGUAGUUAAGUCAAACUUCAUGGAUUUUCAUUUCUGGCAAUAGAACAGUUUAUAAAUGAGUUGAAAUUUUGGAUGCAGAAGUUUGAUUAAGGCUGCAAUUUGCUUGAUCAUGACAAAGGUCAUAUAUAUAGAAGAUUAAUUGUUGACGUCGGAGCUACGUAAUUCCUAACGGUCAAGCAAAAACGAAGAAAAUAUAAUCCAUAACAUUUUAUUCCAGUGAAGGCUUGCUUGUUGACAAUUUGCAGAGUCACAUUUUAUUUAUAAAAUCUACUUCUUUCGACAAUCAAAGUACUUGCGUCUUAACGCUAACUUGAUUUCUCUAAUAUGGGAACCAAAUUUUAUUUCAUUGAUGAUGUACUCCUAGCUUCAGGCCCUGCAACAGAAAUAAAAUUCAACACAUCAGUAGACAUGUAUAUAUGCUCAAAGACUCGUGAACUUUGGCUCAACGUAUUGUCUCUGGACUAUGAAGUUAUGAAUUCAAACAAUUCAGCAAAAACAAAAAGUGCUAAAACAUGAAUGCAGCAUGGGAUGAUUUCAAUAAGAAACCUCAAGUUUAACUUUCACUUUAAUGAAUAUGGAAAGGUGUGCGAGCAAGAGAGUUACGUGGAGCAGUCGAAUGUUGGAGUAAUCUUAGGCAACGUUAUGGGCACCCUACAACUGGCAGGAAGGUCAGAUAUAAGCGAGAAAUCAACGAGUGGAAACAUUGAUCGAGAGCCCUCAAUGCAUUGGCAGAUACUAAUUCUAUCUGCCUUGCUACUGGAGUAAUUUGCUAAAUAUCUCACCCCAUUGCAGCACAUCUGAGAUGGGGUGGCCAUAUUUCUAGUCAGGAAAGGAACACAGGGAUUCAGUUGGUUCACUAUCAUAUUGCAAGGUGGUAAAGGGGCCCCUGUUGCAGAGCCUAAUACCAGCAUCAGAAUGGUCAAAAUACCAGCUAGGUGCCUCAUGCCUAAUCUUUCAACCUCUUUGUGUGACAUUUUUUGACAAAAUA
rnacentral:lncRNA from 1 species